rnacentral:lncRNA from 10 species
UCACCUGGCCUUGAGAAGUGCCAGAUGUUUCUGCAUGCCAGCAAUAAACAGAACUAGUGUGUUCUCCGGAGGCUCCUCUCAAGCCUGUAAUCCCAGUACUUUUGGAGGCUGAGGUAGGCGGAUCACCUGAGGUCAGGAGUUCAAGACCAGCCUGGCCAACAUGGGAGAAUUGCUUGAACUGGGGAGAUGGAGGUUACAGUGAGCCGAGAUCAUGCCACUGUACUCCACCCUGGGCAACAGAGUGAGACUCUGUCUCAAAAAAAAAAAAAAAAAAAAGAAAAGAAAACAC